GACGAACGCUGGCGGCGUGGAUUAGGCAUGCAAGUCGAACGGUAGGAUCCUUUCGGGGAUCUGAGAGUGGCGAACGGGUGAGUAACACGUAGGUGAUCUACCCUCAAGACGGGGACAACCCAGGGAAACUUGGGCUAAUACCGGAUGUGAGCUAUCGCGAGAUAGUUUGAAAGGUGGCUUCGGCUGCCGCUUGAGGAUGAGCCUGCGUCCUAUUAGCUAGUUGGUGAGGUAACGGCUCACCGAGGCAGUGAUAGGUAGGCGGCCUUAACGGGUGGUCGCCCACACUGGGAUUGAGAUACGGCCCAGACUCCUACGGGAGGCAGCAGUCGAGAAUAGUCUACAAUGGUCGAAAGACUGAUAGUGCGACGCCGCGUGAACGAAGAAGCCCUUCGGGGUGUAAAGUUCUUUUAUAUGUGAGCAGUGACACCCAUAUUAAUAGUAUGGGUGUAGAGAUAUUAGCAUAUGAAUAAGCAACGGCUAACUCCGUGCC
rnacentral:rRNA from 1 species